rnacentral:rRNA from 1 species
AGCGGCGGACGGGGGAGUAACGCGUGGGUAACCUAGCCUCAUACAGGGGGAUAACAGUUGGAAACGGACUGCUAAUACCGCAUAAGCGCACAGUACCGCAUGGUACGGUGUGAAAAACUCCGGUGGUAUGAGAUGGACCCGCGUCUGAUUAGGUAGUUGGUGGGGUAACGGCCUACCAAGCCGACGAUCAGUAGCCGACCUGAGAGGGUGACCGGCCACAUUGGGACUGAGACACGGCCCAA